rnacentral:rRNA from 1 species
GAUGAACGCUGGCGGCGUGCCUAAUACAUGCAAGUCGAGCGAACAGACGAGGAGCUUACUCCUCUGACGUUAGCGGCGGACGGGUGAGUAACACGUGGAUAACCUACCUAUAAGACUGGGAUAACUUCGGGAAACCGGAGCUAAUACCGGAUAACAUGUUGAACCGCAUGGUUCAACAGUGAAAGACGGUCUUGCGGUCACUUAUAGAUGGAUCCGCGUCGCAUGAGCUAGUUGGUAGGGUAACGGCUUACCAAGGCAACGAUGCGUAGCCGACCUGAGAGGGUGAUCGGCCACACUGGAACUGAGCCACGGUCCAGGCUCCUACGGUAGGCAGCAGUAGGGAAUCUUCCGCAAUGGGCGAAAGCCUGACGGAGCAACGCCGCGUGAGUGAAGAAGGUCUUCGGAUCGUAAAGCUCUGUUAUUAGUGAAGAACAAAUGUGUAAGUAACUAUGCACGUCUUGACGGUACCUAAUCAGAAAGCCACGGCUAACUACGUG